CAGCGGAGCGUGUGGUUUAAUUCGACGCAACGCGAAGAACCUUACCUGGGCUUGACAUGCGCGUGUACGACCUCGAAAGGGAGACCGGCGCACAGAUGUGACGAGCGCAACCCUCGCUGCCAGUUAGGGAUGUCAAGUAGCACGGCUCUUACGUCCAGGCUACAUACAUGGCCGGUACACGCGCGGCGAUGGGGCGACCCGGAGCGUCGCAGCAAAGCCGGUCUCAGUUGGGAUUGCAGUGCAGCUCGCCUGCAUGAACGCGGAGUUGCUAGUAACCGAGGUCAGCACACUGCGGUGAAUACGUUCCCGGGCCUUGUACACACCGCCGUCACGUCAUGAAAGUUGGAGACGCCUGAAGUCGGUUCGCUAACCCUCCGGGGAGGCAGCCGCCGAGGUGGGGCCAGCGAUUGGGACGAAGUCGUACAAGGU
rnacentral:rRNA from 1 species